AUUGAACGCUGGCGGCAGGCUUAACACAUGCAAGUCGAGCGGAGUGAUGGUGCUUGCACUAUCACUUAGCGGCGGACGGGUGAGUAAUGCUUAGGAAUCUGCCAUUUAGUGGGGGACAACAUUCCGAAAGGAAUGCUAAUACCGCAUACGUCCUACGGGAGAAAGCAGGGGAUCUUCGGACCUUGCGCUAAAUGAUGAGCCUAAGUCGGAUUAGCUAGUUGGUGGGGUAAAGGCCUACCAAGGCGACGAUCUGUAGCGGGUCUGAGAGGAUGAUCCGACACACGGGGACUGAGACACGGCCCAGACUCCUACGGGAGGCAGCAGUGGGGAAUAUUGGACAAUGGGCGGAAGCCUGAGCCAGCCAUGCCGCGUGUGUGAAGAAGGCCUUUUGGUUGUAAAGCACUUUAAGCGAGGAGGAGGCUCUCCUAGUUAAUACCUAGGAAGAGUGGACGUUACUCGCAGAAUAAGCACCGGCUAACUCUGUGCCAGCCGCCGCAGUAAAAC
rnacentral:rRNA from 1 species